AAGUUGACGUCUGUCAAUAGAUCUAAUCAAUCUUGCUCUUUUAUGUGUAAGACUGAAAUUACAAUAAAUUGUUUGUACUGAAAAUCAUAUCAGUUAUUAUUUUCAAACCACGUAAUUUUUCUUUAUGGUAGCAGAGCGUGGUUCUAUGGAAAUAACAGAAGACUGAAGGAAGUGAUUAUACAACUGUUAAAAUUAAGUUAAGUAAUUUGGAAGUUAUAAAACUUCAUCUUCAAAAUGGGUUCAAAUUUGUCUAAUUUGGAAAAACUAGUGGGAAGAGAAAAUUUUACCACUUGGAAAUUCACUAUGAAAAUAUAUUUACAGCAUGAGGAUUUGUGGUGUUAUAUCGAACUGUCUGAUAACAAACCAAUUGAAGCAAGUAAGGAUGUAAAUGCCAAAGCCAAGUUGAUUCUACUUCUGGACCCUCAAAAUUAUGUUCAUGUUCAAGAUUGUUUAACUGAAAAAGAGGUAUGGGAAUGUUUAUAACAAGCUGUUGAUGAUAAAGGGCUCACGCGAAGAGUUGGCUUACUAAAAGACUUGAUAAAUACUAAAUACUACAUUGGAAUCUAGUAAUAGUGUUGAAGAAUAUGUGAGCAAGAUCAUGAAUACUGCUCACAAGCUGUGUAACAUUGAUUUUGACGUAAACGAUGAAUGGCUUGGUACUUUGAUGCUGGCAGGCUUACCAGAUGAAUACAAGCCCAUGAUUAUGGAGCUUGAAAGCUCGGGCAUUAAAAUAAGUGUUGAUUCAGUUAAGUCUAAGUUAAUACAAUAAAUUAGUACAUCAAAGUCAACAGUCUUUUAUACAAAUUAUAAGAAAUCCAGAAGUAAUACUCAGCAAGUUAAAAACAGAGGACCAAAAUGCUAUAAUCGCAAUAAAUGGUCAUUUUGCUAAACUAUAUAAACAACCAAAGAAGUUAGUGAAUAAAGGAGAAGGUUCAAGUUUUGUAGCUGCUUUCCCAGUAACUGUUAAACAAAAUGUGAGUGAUAAAUGGCUAAUAGACUCAGGAGCAUCUUUGCACAUGACUUGCAGAGAUGACUGGUUGUAUAAUGUCACUGAGCCAACUGUGAAAAGUGUUACUGUGGCAAACAGAGAGCCAUUAACUGUAAAAGGAGUUGGAUGUGUGGACAUUCAAAUAAAUCAGAAAGAUAAAAUACAAGUUAAAAAUGUACUGUUUGUUCCUGGUUUAGCUGCCAAUCUCCUUUCAGUCAGCACAAUCGUGAAGAAAGGGCAUAGUGUUAUAUUUUAUGACAAGGGAUGUGACAUUCAGAAUGCUAAAGGAGAGGUUAUCUGUAAUGCAUGUAUUAAAAAAUAACCUAUACGUUAUGAACAUAAGUGGAGAAGAGGUUCAUCUGACUUCAAGUGCUAUGAAUUCUAAUGACACUUAUCUGUGGCAUCUGCGAAUGGGACACUUGAAUUUUUCAGAUAUUAAGAAACUGCCAAAUUGUGUUGAAGGUGUGCUUUGACUUCAGACAAAGGUAAUGUUAUCACAUGUAUUCAUUGUUGCGAGGGAAAACAUGCUCAGUUGCCAUUUAAAAAUGUAGGUUCAAGAGCAGUAAGACCACUUGUACUAAUACAUUCUGAUUUAUGUGGCCCUAUGGAAAAUAUUUCAUAUGGAGGUAAGAAAUAUUUUAUAACUUUCAUUGAUGACUACACACGAAUGGUACAUUGUACUUUCUUAAAGAUAAAAUGAGUGUACCUGAUACGUUCAAAAAUUUCAAGUCAAAAGUAGAGAAUGAAUUGAAUUGUAAAAUUAAAAAGUUACACACAGAUAAUGGUAAAGAGUACUGUAAUAACAAUUUUGAGAAAUUUUUAACUAAUCAUGGUAUAAUUUAUCAGACAUCUACUCCGUAUACUCCAGAGCACAAUGGCUUGGCAGAACUAAUGAACAGAACACUAGUGGAGCGAGCGAGGUGUAUGUUAUUUUAUGCCAACCUGGAGAAGAAACUAUGGGCUGAAGCUUUGGCAACUGUUGCGUAUAUUGUAAAUAGAUCUCCUACAAAGGCUUUGGAAGAUUUUUAGUUCUGUUGCUAUGGUACAUGUACCAAAAGAAAAACGUCAAAAAUGGGAUAAAAAAUCUGAGAAAAUGUUGAUGGUAGGUUAUUGUGAAAAUUCCAAAGGAUAUCGAUUAAUAAAUCCUUUAACACAUAAAACAGUAAAAAGUAGAGACAUAACUUUUAUUGAGAAGUAAACUGAAGAUAAUAAUAUACUUAUACCUUCCGAUGUUGAAGUUGCAGACAUGGAGGGCCGGUCAGCCAGUAAUAGCACUGCUCCUACCAGUACUAGGAAGUCAUCUAAUAUUCAAAAUUAGGAAAUACACACUCAGGAAUCAUCAAGUAAGGAUUUUAAUGAACCUAUAAGUAGAAGCGAAGACUCACUAUUUUCUAUGAAACAGAAAACUCAAUUAUUAGUUUAGUAACAACCCUUUAGCUAAUUAUGUAUUGAGUAUCUAUCAAUCAAAAAAAAAAUAUGUGAAAAACGAUUAAAUUAAGUUUGUUUUAUAAAAAGAUUCCCAGUUUAAUGCGCUUGAAAUUUCAAAGUUCCAAAAGAAUGGCCGCAUAUUACCAAUAUAUAAAAGAAAAUAGUUUUCACUCCAUAAUCUGAGACCAAAUGACAAGAAAUAUUUUGGGUAGUAAAUUUAAAAUCAAAUAAAUAAGACAAAAAAUCACUCACCAGUUCACAAAUGAGGAAAUCACCAUCUUGGUAGUUAAGAAUUUUCCGGGUAUCCAUAAUUUUCACCACACAAUAUUGUAUUAAAACACGGAAAAUUCUUUAUCCGAUUAUUGUAAACACGCCACGAAUACGAACAUCAAUCCGUUUCAUGAAAAUUUUAAAAUAAAAACUAUUUUCUAUCGAUAUACUGAAAAUUUCCAAUUAGAAUUUUCAACAUUAGUCACAUUUUUAAAACUAGAAAUCGAAAGAUUUUUUUGUCCUUAUUAAACAGAUCCGGUAUCUCUGUAUUUUAUUUAUCUAAUAAUAACUAUUCUGUACUACAAUCGAAA